AUUGAACGCUGGCGGCAGGCUUAACACAUGCAAGUCGAGCGGGGGAAGGUAGCUUGCUACCGGACCUAGCGGCGGACGGGUGAGUAAUGCUUAGGAAUCUGCCUAUUAGUGGGGGACAACAUCUCGAAAGGGAUGCUAAUACCGCAUACGUCCUACGGGAGAAAGCAGGGGAUCUUCGGACCUUGCGCUAAUAGAUGAGCCUAAGUCGGAUUAGCUAGUUGGUGGGGUAAAGGCCUACCAAGGCGACGAUCUGUAGCGGGUCUGAGAGGAUGGUCCGCCACACUGGGACGGGGACACGGCCCAGACUCCUACGGGAGGCAGCAGUGGGGAAUAUUGGACAAUGGGGGGAACCCUGAUCCAGCCAUGCCGCGUGUGUGAAGAAGGCCUUAUGGUUGUAAAGCACUUUAAGCGAGGAGGAGGCUACUCUAGUUAAUACCUAGGGAUAGUGGACGUUACUCGCAGAAUAAGCACCGGCUAACUCUGUGCCAGCCGCCGCGGUAA
rnacentral:rRNA from 1 species